ensembl:snRNA U2 U2 spliceosomal RNA
AUCGCUUCUCUUUGGCUCAGAUCAAGUAUAGUAUCUGUUCUUACCAGUUUAAUAUCGGAUAUGGCCUCUACCCAAGGAUGAUAUAUUAAAUGAAUUUUUGGAGCAGGGAGGUGGAAUAGGAGCUUGCUCCGUCUAUUCUGCUUAUCUGUUGCAGUACUUCCGGAAUGGUGCACAGAAA